ensembl:lncRNA
GGCCAGGGGACGGACAGGCAUCCGUAAAGACGGCACAUCACCCCCCAAGGUGCUCUUAAUAUGAGGUGUCAGCAUGUUUCAAAGGGCAGCAGUGGUCCCACGGUAUGUGUGUACAAGGUGUGAUCUCCGGGGGGACACGGCGCUCCGUUCUCCCCUGUGCGUACCGUAGGCGGGUCAGUCUCCAUGCUUCGGGCUGAGACCUGUAGUUCAGUGCUGUUGACUAAGGCCGCUCCACGCCGUGAGCUGUAACGUGCUGUGAGGGGAACGUUUGAGCUGCGGACGGGUUUGAAGGGAUGUGAUGAAUUGUGGUACCGUCACAGUCACGAUAGGAUACCAUGAUCAAAGGAAUCCCCUCAUUUUAGCUGGGACAGUCCCCACGCCGCCAGUGACAUCAUUGACCAGCGCCAAUGCAGCGGCACAUUCUUACUGACGCCCAGUGGCCCACUUAAUGGGGUACACACCCCAGCACCUAAUCAUCCCAACUUGAAAUGACUGCUGUCCACUUAACAGGCUCCACUUUAGAGGGUGAUGAUGGGACUUGAGUUAUUUUGCUGUUGUGCAAUACAACAAGGACCAAUUCUGACUGAAACCAUGCCGAAAGCAUGUUUUUACUGAGAUUUGGGAAAUUGGAUCAACAUUUCGAUAUUAUAAAAAAAAAAUUCUAACUAGAAGAAAGAUCAGAAGUAUAUAUUCUUUGCUCUGCUGUAAAAUACAAGUUUUUGUAUGGACAAGAUUAAACAGAUCAAGUAAUUUAUCAGAAAAACUAGCUUUUUGUAGUGACCCAAAAUUCACGCCCAACUCAAUCCAACCUAAUCUCCUGGCACCUCGCCACACAAUGCUUUACUUUGUAUUUAAGCUCCUCUAGAAUACAAAAUAACUCGUCUUACAUUCAAACCUGUGUCUAUAUAAUGUGUGUAUAUAUAUCAAUGUCAGUGGUUACUGGACAGUAUAAAGUAGGUUGCCGAGUUACAGCAGUUCAACAUUAAGUACAGUAUGCAGCGUUCUGCUGACUACUACCUCAUCACUAAUGUCCAUACCGUUGCUACUGACUCAUCAUCAUCAUCAUCACGACUGUACUGAAACAUACCUGAGCCGUCCACACUUCUUAUCAAAGACUAAAUGUCUAGAAAUGCUCCUGCCAAGAUAUUUGUAAUUGUAGUCACCAGUUGUUUCUUGAUCCAUAUAUCUGUUUGUAAAGGUAGAGCAUGCUUAAAGUUGACCAUGAUUUGGCCAUCAGUGGGCUUGAGACCCAUUUGGUUUAUGAAGCGGGUACAUGUUUUUAUUAACAUCAAUGUGUCAGAAUUGGUCCCUUGAUGAUACAGUUGCAGUAAGGAACAAGUACUUUAAAUUAUUUUCUGUUCCGACGGUAUAAAUAUUUAUGGUGUGAAUUAUAUCAUUUGGCAACCGUGUACAUUGAUAUCUCUGAUUGUUGAAUCACCAAUAUCUGUGUAACUUUUAUGUUUUGAUUUCCAAAAAGGUAAAGGAACAAAGAAUUAAAUAACUACCAGAAGUCUGUGAUUUAUUUACUAUUCCACUACACACUGUUGAUGACGUGAUGCGUUGAAAGGAACAUUUAAAAGAUCCCAAACAGGGCCUCUUAAAACACAUUACAUGCUAGUGAAGCUGAGGACACAACUUUAAUAUCAAUAUAUCAGAUUAAGAAGAAGAAAAUACAUGCUGCAUAUUAACCAUUUGCCGUAUGAAAUUUGUUCUUCACCCACUCAAGUCUAGGCUCAUUUCAUUCAGCUUAAAG